rnacentral:lncRNA from 1 species
AUGGAUCCUGAUUUUUCCCCUGUGCUCCUGCAGAAAGUAUACCGUGUAGGGUGCUGGAGACGCACUGGAGAAAUGAAGCAUACCCUGUAUAUACAGAAAUCAUGCUGGAGAAGGCUUUUGAGAAUCCCACGGACAGCAAGGAGAUCAAACCAGUCAAUCCUAAAGGAAAUCAACCCUGAAUACUCAUUGGAAGGGCUGAUGCUGAAGUUGCAGUACUUGGGCCACCUGAUGCAAAGAGCCAGUUCACUGGAAAAGACCCUGAUGCUGGGAAAGACUGAAGGCAGGAGGAGAAGGGGACGACAGAGGAUGAGAUGGUUGGAUGGCGUCAUUGACUCAGUGGACAUGAGUUUGAGCAAACUCCAGGAGAUGGUGAAGGGCAGGGAAGCCUGGAGUGCUGCAGUUAACGGGGUUGCAAAGCGUCAGACACGACCAAGCAACUGAACAACAGCAGAAAUUAUUGGAAGUGUAAGAGGAAGAAAGUGAAAGUGAAGUCACUCAGUCGAUAAGAGGAAGAAAGUGAAAGUGAAGUCACUUAGUCGUGUCCGACUCUUUGCGACCCCCUGGACUGUAGCCUAUCAGGCUCCUCCAUCCAUGGGAUUUUCCAGGCAAGAGUGCUGGAGUGGAUUGCCAUUUCCUUCUCCAGGGGAUCUUACCAACUCAGAAAUCGAACCCAGGUCUCCUGCAUUGCAGGCAGACGCUUUACCUUCUGAGACACCAGGGAAGCCCCAACAGUAUCAUCAAUACCUUCUCCAUGUGGCCAGCUUCUGGUUCUUGCUGGACUAUUUUGGUAAAAUAUUGGUAAAUGGCAGGUCAUGAGAAUAUAGUACAGGCUUUUCCAUAGAUUAGUGGUUUCCAUAUUUGCGCCUCCUCAGAUUCACCUGGGGCAGAUGAAACACACUCCGAGUUGCUAAUAUGCCCUUGGAGAUCCUGAAAUUCAGGAGAGAGUCCCAGGGGAAUGUGUUUUGAAAGCAUCUCAGGUGAUUCUAAUCAGAGCUGGAGACCGCCACCGUACCAUUCAAAUGAAAUUUCUAGACUCAUUCAUCAUGUAACAGUGCUGAAAAAUGUCAUUUUCUCAGCGAGAGAAUUUUUUUUCCCUCCUUUAGGUUGGAAGAAUAUUUGAUAAACCAGUGGGCAAGGUCGGGAAAUGCUCAAGGGAGAUGUCUAAGAUACAAAAGAUGACUUUUAGCUUUAUUUCAAACUUUCAUCUCACUGGAUGGGGUAUGUUACACACACAAAAAGAGAAUUUCUGAAUGGUGGAAGAUCCCCUGCAGGAGGGCAUGGCAACCCCCUCCAGGAUUCUUGUCUAGAGAAUGCCAUGGACAGAGGAGCCUGGAGGGCUACAGUCUACUGGGUCACAACGGAGUCAGACGCGACUGAAGCUAAUCAGCAUACGUGCAUCUGCAGAUGGCAAGGAAACAAAGGCAAAGGCAAAGGGUUCUCGGGUCACCUAGUUCAGAACCUGCUGCCU